AGCUCCAAUAGCGUAUAUUAAUGUUGUUGCAGUUAAAAAGCUCGUAGUUGGAUUCCUGGCCUGGGGUAGCCGGUCCGCCUUGCAAAAGGUGCGCACUGAGCGGCCUCGGCCAUCCUUGGGAAGAGCAGUCCUGGCAUUCAGUUGUCGGGGUUGGGAUUCCCGACGUUUACUGUGAAAAAAUCAGAGUGUUCAACGCAGGCUUACGCCUUGAAUACAUUAGCAUGGAAUAAUGAGAUAGGACCUUGGCGGUCUAUUUUGUUGGUUUGCACGCCGAGGUAAUGAUUAAAAGGGACGGUUGGGGUUCUUCGUAUUCAAUUGUCAGAGGUGAAAUUCUUGGAUUUAUGGAAGACGAACUGCUGCGAAAGCGUCGAACAAGGACGUUCUCAUUAAUCAAGAACGA
rnacentral:rRNA from 1 species